rnacentral:misc_RNA from 1 species
AAGUCGUAACAAGGUUUCCGUAGGUGAACCUGCGGAAGGAUCAUUAUCAUAACGUAUCCACGUAUAAACCAACUUUAAAUUGAUGUGAAACGUAACUGUUUUAACACCUCGAGAUAAUCAGAUGAUUGCUAUACUUUAACAUUGUUUGCGAUUAAAGCAAAAACGGUUUAGUAUGGACCUGUGCCUGUAACAAGGUGCUAGCGCUGAUUAUUUGGAGUGUAAAAAAUUUAAUCAACUAUUAACCCAUUGAACCGAAUUACUAUAUUCUUAACUGAGUUUAGUUAUUCAUUUUAAUUUCUAUUGUGUGAACUGAAUUGUCUACUUACUUGACACCGUCAUUGGUGGAGAGAAGUCGAUUAUAUUUACGAAACAUUAUAAAUUUCUAUGAACAACUCUUAGCAACGGAUAUCUUGGUUCUC